AAUCAUACCUGGACGGGGUCAAUGAGUGAUCAAGAAUGCUCAUGGCCUAGGUUAGGGACCUCCAUUGCACAGUUGGGAAGGGUGCUUAGCCUAAGAUCUCCCCUUUGUGGGUGCAUCUACGUCGUUAUUUCUAAACAAAAUGUUGGAUUGUGAUUCUUGUUUGC